AUAUUUAUAAAUUAAGCAUAUAAGAUUAAUAAGUUAAAAUGUAUGUCUAAUUUCUAGUUAAAGAGUUAAAAUGACGUAAACAAAAAUGAGUUCUAGUUGCAAAACGAGUAAUACAAAUUUCUUUUCUUAUUUUUCUAAUUUCGGAAUGCAACGAAUUUUAAUUAGAAAUUUAAUUUCAUACAUCCGCUGUCGUGCAUUAUGCUCUCAAGUGUCUCUCUGUGCAAUGAAAGAAAGAGAGAAAUAAUUUAUUUUCCUCGAAACAUAAAACUAAAUCUAAUUAUAUUUUGCUUGUAUAUUAUAUACAUAUUAUGCACAUUUCUGUGUUCUAAAUGUAGAUAUUCUUUCUUGCUCCUUUGACUAAUUUAAGAUAUAAACGAUCGCUAUAUAAGUGAAAAACAUCUUGAUUAAAAAAUAGCAAAAUACAAUAAUUGCGAGAACGAACUGUAUUAUAAAAAAUUUCUAUUCAGUAACUAUUUACUAUUAUUUAUUGACACGUUUACUCUCACUUCUCUUUUCGCUAACAAAAACGCCACAUGUUACAUUAUUUUUCUUUUUUUAUUUAAGUAAAUAUAUAUCAGAUGUCACGUCACAUUUCCGCGGAUUGAAGGUGACUUCUUUUUAUCUUCGGAAUUAAUGAAAUAUAACUGAAUUUCAACGCAAUAUUUCAUGUGGGAUCGUUGUCCGUUUGACCGUUACGUGCUUGUAAGUCGUCUUUCUCCUUGAUUCAGCGUUUAAUUUCCACGAGGGCGUUCGCUCUAGUCUCAUCAGUCUCGUUCAAAUAUGUCGCUGCAUGUAACUUAUCCGCGCUGGUCAGUUUUUUCACGCCAAGCGUAACACUCUCUACACUGUCGUUGUAGUCACUUGUAUUUGCCAUCGUAAUACCACGAGAUGCUUUGUUCGCUCUGGAGGAUAAUUUACGUCUGAGAGCCGCAGAGAUGCUCUGCCCUGCUCUGCCCUGCUCUGCCCCACGCACGAUCAACAAAAAAUGAUCAGCAGACUAUAAGCUAUGAAUCAAUCAGCUAUGAGCAAUCGCGCUACGAAGUAUAGACGCGGUGAUGAUUCUAAUGGAUAUUGAUACUUAUCCUCGAGAGAAUAAGUCGCAAAGAAAUGUUAAAUUUUAUAUUCUUUACAUUACGCUUUUAAUCUUUUAAGUAAAAUGCAUAUGUGCUGAAAUUUUAUUAAAAGAUUAUAGUUAUAUCAUUGCUUUCUAAUUGCACAUAUAAAAUAAAUAAAAUAAAAAACCUGAUGUUUAUAAUUAAAACGAUAAGGCGAUUUUAAAAAAUAAUUUGUAAGUUACAAGCGAGCAUGGAACGAGUUUCUCUUCUUAUUCACACAAUUUAAGAAUAUAAAAAAUUUUUAUGAAUUGAACCGUCGAAUACAUCCGUUCUUCUGCAUCACGUUAACGGCAAGGACGCUUGCGUAACGAAAGAGAAAGAGAACGAUUUAUUUUCUUCGGUAAAAGGCAAAAUAAAGUAUGGCCAAGGUAAACUACUUUAUUAUUCGGUUAAAGUAAAACUAAACGAUUUAUUUUAUACAAAAUUAAA